UGACCUCGGAUCAGGUAGGACUACCCGCUGAACUUAAGCAUA
rnacentral:rRNA from 2 species